rnacentral:rRNA from 1 species
UACGUAGGGUGCAAGCGUUGUCCGGAAUUAUUGGGCGUAAAGAGCUCGUAGGCGGCUUGUCGCGUCGGCUGUGAAAACCUGGGGCUCAACCCCGGGCCUGCAGCCGAUACGGGCAAGCUAGAAUUCGGUAGGGGAGACUGGAAUUCCUGGUGUAGCGGUGAAAUGCGCAGAUAUCAGGAGGAACACCAGUGGCGAAGGCG